rnacentral:rRNA from 1 species
GCCUUAAAUCUAGCCCCAACAACAUGCAUGAUAACCACAGACUACUGCAAAAAGUAAAACAUUUUAACAUUUUAGUAUAGGUGAUAGAAAAAUUAUUAGGCGCUUUAGAUAAAGUACCGCAAGGGAAACAUGAAAUAGAAAUGAAAUAAUACUAUAGCCGCAAAUAGCAGAGACAUCCCCUCGUACCUUUCGCAUCAUGGUCUAGCUAGUCCACCAAGCAAAAUGAAAAUUUUAGUUUGACACCCCGAAACUAAGCGAGCUACUUAGAAACAGCCUCAANGGGCCAACCCAUCUCUGUUGCAAAAGAGUGGGAAGAUUUUUAAGUAGAGGUGACAAGCCUACCGAGCUUAGAGAUAGCUGGUUGUUCAGGAAAAGAGUUUUAGCUCUGCCUUAAGUCUCUUUAUUUUAUCAAACAGCCCCCUAGACUUAAGAGUUAUUCAAAUUAGGCACAGCUUAUUUGAAACAGGAUACAACCUCAGCCAUCGGGUAAAUAAGGGCAAUUAAAACAAAGUGGGCCUAAAAGCAGCCACCUUUUAAAAAGCGUCAAAGCUUGAUUUAUCUAGCUCGGAAUCUCUAAAAUCCCCCCCAACCCCUCAUCACUACUGAACUAUUUUAUACUAUUAUAAAAACUAUUAUGCUAGAACUAGUAACAAGAAGUUAUCCUUCUCCAUAAUGUAAAUAUAAACCAAAACGGACCCCCCAUUGGUAAUUAACGUAAGUACAAGAUUCAUAGCAACACAUGACCAGAGAACCCUAUGACCAACUCCCACGUUACCCUGACACUAGAACAUUGCAGGAAAGAUUAAAAGAGGAAGAAGGAACUCGGCAAAUUUUAGCCCCGCCUGUUUACCAAAAACAUCGCCUCUUGACUUAAAUAUAAGAGGUCCAGCCUGCCCAGUGACAAAAUUCAACGGCCGCGGUAUACUAACCGUGCGAAGGUAGCAUAAUCACUUGUUCUUUAAAUAGGGACUAGUAUCAACGGCAUCACGAGGGCUAUACUGUCUCCUCCCUCCAAUCAGUGAAACUGAUCCCCCCGUGAAGAAGCGGGGAUUUGACUAUAAGACGAGAAGACCCCAUGGAGCUUUAAACCCAAUAUAUACCCCCUCCCCAAGCAUCAACUUAAUCUAGCGGGCCUGUAUACUGGUUUUAGGCUGGGGGGGCCACGGAGUAAAAUUAAACCUCCACAACAAAUGGGCUAAUACCCUUACCCACGAUUUUAUAAAUCUAAGAAUCAUCAAAAUGAUGUCAAAUGACCCGAUAAUUCGAUCAAUGAACCAAGUUACCCUGGGGAUAACAGCGCAAUCUACUUCAAGAGCCCUUAUCGACAAGUAGGUUUACGACCUCGAUGUUGGAUCAGGGUAUCCAAGUGGUGCAACCGCUGCUAACGG